CGCCCACGAGGAAGUGGCGGCAGCGGCGCUGUGCGGGGCUCAGAGCCGGCUCGGCGCGUCGACUGCCCAGAGUCCGCGGCCGGGGCGUCCCGAGGUAGGGUCUCACACUUUUGCCCAGCCAACCUGGACCUGCAGGCUUCCUAAUUCUGCCUCCCGAGUAGCUGGGAUUACAGGUGCGCACCACCACACCUGGAGCCAAGCAACCAUGGCAUACCACAGCUUCCUGGUGGAGCCAAUCAGCUGCCAUGCCUGGAACAAGGACCGCACGCGUGAGUGCUGCUGCCGGGGGGCCUUCCAGGAGGGGGACCUGUGGGGACAUGCCUGGGGGACACUCAUGGGCUCCCUGAGGGCUGCCCAGGCCCACACUCUGGCCCUCUGGCACACCUGGGUGGAGGGGAUGACAAGGUCAGAACAAGCGGGUGGGUUGGGCGCUGCUGUGGGUGACACACGGUGGGGUAUGGGGGAACACCACAGGACAGCCUGGGCCUCCCCAGGGAGGGAGCAGGGACAGGAAGUGAGGAUGCAAACCUGCUGUCGGGGCAACGGAUGGAGCUAUGAAGAAAAACUCAAGGUGGCUGGGUGUGGUGCUUCACGCCUGUAAUCCCAGCAUUAGGGAGGUGGAGGUAGGAGGAUCAUGUGUUUGAGGCCAGCCUGGGCCACACAGCAAGAC